CCUACGGGUGGCAGCAGUGAGGAAUAUUGGUCAAUGGGCGAGAGCCUGAACCAGCCAAGUCGCGUGCAGGAAGACGGCCCUAUGGGUUGUAAACUGCUUUUGUACGGGAGUAAACCGCCUUACGUGUACGGCUUUGCAAGUACCGUAUGAAUAAGCACCGGCUAACUCCGUGCCAGCAGCCGCGGUAAUACGGAGGAUCCGGGCGUUAUCCGGAUUUAUUGGGUUUAAAGGGGGCGUAGGCCGCAGGUCAAGGGAGCGGUGAAAUGUCCGGGCUCAACCCGGGCCGUGCCGCGAAAACUGGCGUGCUAGAGUGGGCGGGAAGCAGGCGGAAUGCGUGGUGUAGCGGUGAAAUGCAUAGAUAUCACGCAGAACCCCGAUUGCGAAGGCAGCAUACCGACGCGGAACUGACGCUGAGGCACGAAAGCGUGGGUAUCGAACAGGAUUAGAUACCCCAGUAGUC
rnacentral:rRNA from 1 species